rnacentral:rRNA from 1 species
CGGCGGACGGGUGAGUAACACGUGGAUAACCUACCUAUAAGACUGGGAUAACUUCGGGAAACCGGAGCUAAUACCGGAUAAUAUAUUGAACCGCAUGGUUCAAUAGUGAAAGACGGUUUUGCUGUCACUUAUAGAUGGAUCCGCGCCGCAUUAGCUAGUUGGUAAGGUAACGGCUUACCAAGGCAACGAUGCGUAGCCGACCUGAGAGGGUGAUCGGCCACACUGGAACUGAGACACGGUCCAA